rnacentral:lncRNA from 1 species
UGGUCCAUCAAUUCUCGAGUCGUGGCGACACGCAUCUGUGCUUGUUUUACUACUCGCAGCGUCGCAGAGACGGGGACCGGGGUGGUGUGCUGGAACCGUUGGAUGUGGUGAGGACGAGAAGCCCCCAAUGACAAAGGACAACGGGAGGGGCCGGCGGACCAUGGGGGAGGCGAACGGCCUGGCCGGCCGGAGGGAGAGCCGUCGCCGUCAGCCACCGGCUAGUGGCAUGAUAUUUGAUAUGGCAGGGUGGUCGGCCGGCUCGGCUCGGCCCGACCCACGCCUCCGAGCUGGACCUCCCGUCCACGUCGUCGGGGGCCCCGCGUGGCACACCAAGGCAAGGAGCGCAGGGACAGCUCAGCGAUUUUAUUUUAUUAUUUAUAGGUUCUGUCGCUGUAUUCACAAUUCCUAUGAGAGCAGGUUAAUAAUAAAGCUAAGUGUUUAAUUAUAAACCAAGUAAUUAGACUCAAAUUAUACAAUAAAUUAUCUUAUACUUAUCUUUAAGAUACUUUUUUGCUCUAUUUUUUUUUCUCAUAACACUUGCUAUUUGGGUCCACCACUACUUAUACAUUUGUGCCCAGUUUGGUACUUGCAUGCUCCUGUUUUUUGUCCUCCAUAUCAGUAUUAGGCCUUGUUUAGUUCACACCAAAAACCAAAAAGUUUUUAAGAUUUCCUGUCACAUCGAAUCUUUCGGCACGUGCAUAAAGCGUUAAAUAUAGAUGAAAAUAAAAACUAAUUAUAUCAUUUAACUGUAAAUCGCGAGAUAAAUCUUUUGAUCCUAGUUAGACCAUGAUUAGACAAUAUUUGACAUAAACAAACGAAAAUUCUAUAGUAUCGAAAUCUAAAAUCUUUUCGCAUCUAAACAAGACCUUAGUUUGGCUAUAAACUCAUUAUUAUAUAUGCUCUCAUCCAUCCUAUCAAGGGGCACGAGUCGUCGCCCGCUCCAGCCAGACAACUAAGAUGAGAUGAGAUGAGAUCGGACCGGACUGGAGCAGGCAGCUGAGGUGGCUUAUCCACUCCUCAAUCCUCUGAUAGUCUUUGUUAUUAUUAUGAUCCUCCGUCGCCAGCGUACCAGGCAGAUUUUUAGGCUCCACCCGCACUCCAUGUCUAUUUCAUCUCGUGUAGCAAAUGAUCAUUAGUAUCUUAUUAUUUUAAGUGCUCAUGGCAUAGGCUGAGUUUUUUUUCUUAAUACAAUUCUCUUGCUAAGCUUUGGUUCUGCCAUGGCUUUUAGAAGCUUUGAUUCUUAUGAGUGCCGCCAGAUUCAGAGGCAUCCAUCAGUGGUUUGAUGAUGUGUCUUUGUCCGCUUGUGCUCUGUGCUCCUUUCCCCUCGUCGUCACGUGGCACGAUGUACGGUAGCAGGUCCAGCCCAUAAGAGCAGGUUCAAUAAGCUUGGCUAUUAGACAAACCAUGUCAUUUAGAGACAAGCUUAAUAUACUAAGUAUACAAUAGCAAAGCUCUUCACAGGUUCUCCAAUAUUUAUAUUUUAUUCAAGGUGGACGUGAAGCUGGCAAGGAAUGAACAUGCGCGUGCUGAGGUGUUCAUGGCCGCACGGGAGCCUAGGAGGUAGCGGGUCCACAUGUCACGGGUAUAUGUGCAAGCGCUCGACGCUGCAACUCGCGACAAGCUGCUUGUCUCUGCCCGUUUCUCUCUCUUCCACGUAGAUUUUUGCUGAUAUGGCUUGGCUAUAAGACAAGCUGACAUGUAUUAUUGUACUUGCUCUAAUCACCAUGUCCAUAUGAUCGAACCAAUCAACAGUCAGUCUCCUCUCCAGUGUUGUAGGCUGAAGAUAGCUAACCGCUGCGCUGCGCUUCUGAAAUCAUAGGUCCAUCCAUUAAUCAUUAAGAGCGUGUUUGUUUGCUCGUAUGAGACCAUACAUGCAUCUCGAGAUGCAGCGUGGCCCUGUUUGAUUGCCUGCAUGCAGCUUUGGGCCAGACUCUAGGCAUGCAAAAAAGAGCUCUCAGCCAGGCUGAGGAGGAACGCCCAAAUCAGCUGUUCCUAGCCAGCCAGGCUGGACAGAUGCAGCCAUUUACGUGGCUAACGGUGUAUUAGUAUGUGAUUAGUAAAUAUAAAGUGAUAUUAGUGUACUUUAAAGUUGAUUAAGAUAUAAUUAGAUAAAAUAAGACAUGUAAGAGUGUAUUCGUACAAAAAUAAAAAUUAUAAUCAUAAUCUUAUAAUAUUUUUAUCUCAUACAGUUUACCUUUGUACAGGCAACCAAACAAUAUCUAAUCAGAGCCUGACUCCACAUAUACAUGCAACCAAACUAGGCUUCCAGCAUGCAUCCAGCCAGACCAAAGGCAGCCUGGCUCUCUAUAGCUGGCCUGGUUGGGAUGAGAAGGGAACCAAACAGGCCCUAAGAGGGUGUUUGGCAAUGGGUAGGGUUUCUUCAAAGGAGCUGAAGCUAUUUUAUAGAAGCUAUAAUUAAAGGGUUUUACAAAACGGUUCAAAUACUUCUAUUUUUUAUUGAAAACAGCUUCUUUAUAGAAACAUUUGGUAAGAUCCUUCUAAAGCAUCCAGAGCCAGAAUUGAGUAGGAGCCCUGCCAGCUCUAGUUAUUUACUCUGAUAUUAAGUAUGGCUUCUGCUGGUUUUACUCGCA